rnacentral:rRNA from 1 species
UGUUGCCUGCAAGGGCGUAUGGUGGAUGCCUUGGCAGACAGGACCGAUGAAGGACGUUUGAGGCUGCGAUAUGCCUCGGGGAGCCGCCAACAGGGCUUUGAUCCGAGGAUUUCCGAAUGGGGGAACCCACCGGCCGUCAUGGGCCGGUACCGCCGUGUGCGGGGGGUACGCAGGGAAGUGAAACAUCUCAGUACCUGCAGGAAAGGAUAUUCCGUGAGUAGUGGCGAGCGAAAGCGGAUCAGGCCAAACCUUGCGCGUGUGAUACCCGUCGGGGGUUGCGCGCGGGGUGUAGAGGGAUCGCGUUUGCCGGCUCCGACGGGCCGGCCGUCAGUUGCAUAAAACCAUGUGCCAGGGGAACCGGGUUGAAUACCGGGCCGCAGAGGGUGAGGGCCCCGUACCCGAACGCGCAUGGUCUGGCGAUCGCGUCUCCCAAGUAGCACGGGCCCCGUGGAAUCCCGUGCGAAUCUGUCCCGACCGUGGGAUAAGCCUAAAUAUUCCUGUCUGACCGAUAGCGAACGAGUACCGUGAGGGAAAGGUGAAAAGUACCCCGGGAGGGGAGUGAAACAGUCUCUGAAACCAUGCGCCUACGAACCGUCGGGGCCCCCUUGUGGGGUGACGGCGUGCCUAUCGAAAAAUGAGUCUGCGAGUCAGUGGCAUGUGGCGAGCAUAACCCGUGUGGGGUAUGCGUAGCGAAGGCGAGUCUUAAAAGGCGUUUGAGUCGUGUGUCCUGGACCCGAAGCGGGAUGAUCUAGCCCUGAGCAGGUUGAAGCGCGGGUAAGACCGUGUGGAGGACCGAACCCACCUGGGUUGAAAACCGGGGGGAUGACUUGGGGCUAGGGGUGAAAGGCCAAUCAAAUUCCGUGAUAGCUGGUUCUCUCCGAAAUGCAUUUAGGUGCAGCGUCGGAUCGAUUACAUCCGGGGGGUAGAGCGACUGGAUGCUUGCGGGCCCAUAUCGGGUACCAACAGCAACCAAACUCCGAAUACCCGUGAUGCGUAUCCCGGCAGUGAGUCGGCGGGGGAUAAGCUCCGUCGUCGAAAGGGAAACAGCCCAGAUCGUCGUCUAAGGUCCCCAAGCGUGUGCUAAGUGGGAAAGGAUGUGGAGUCGCAUAGACAGCCAGGAGGUUGGCUCAGAAGCAGCCACCCUUGAAAGAGUGCGUAACAGCUCACUGGUCUAGUGGUUCCGCGCCGACAAUGUAGCGGGGCUCAAGCACACCACCGAAGACGCGGCAGUAGUUUUGCUACUGGGUAGGAGAGCGUCCCAUGCGGGGCGAAGCGGCGGCGCAAGCCCGCCGUGGACCGCAUGGGAGUGAGAAUGCAGACAUGAGUAGCGAAAGACGGGUGAAGAUCCCGUCCGCUGGACGACCAAGGGUUCCAGGGCCACGUUCAUCGUCCCUGGGUGAGUCGGGUCCUAAGGCGAGGCCGACAGGCGUAGUCGAAUGGAUGAACGGGUCGAUAUUCCCGUACCGGCAUGCAACCGGCAAAACCGAAUCCGCGAGUACUAACCUCCGGGUCCGGGCUUACGUCUCCUUCGGGAGCCGGAUGCCCUGGCCUGUUGGGACCGUAACGGUAGUAGGUCAGCGCGGGAGUGACGCAGAAGGGUAGCCGGCCGCGGAGGUGGUCUUCCGUGGUCAAGCACGCAGCCCGUCCCACAGGCAAAUCCGUGGGGCGCGUGGGCGAGGUGCGAUGAUGGGCGCCGUUGGGCGCGAUAUCCGGUGAUCCCGGCUGCCGAGAAAAGCUUCGGCGUGAGGCGGCGUGCCGCCCGUACCCCAAACCGACACUGGUGGUCAGGUAGAGAAUACCAAAGCGAUCGAGCGAAUCCUGGUCAAGGAACUCGGCAAAUCACUCCCGUUCCUUCGGUUUAAGGGAGACCCCCGAUGGUGAACACACUUGCUGUGGGAGCUUUUGGGGGUGGCACAGACCAGGGGGUAGCGACUGUUUACCAAAAACACAGGAGCGUGCGAAGGCGCAAGCCGCUGUAUACGCUCUGACGCCUGCCCGGUGCCGGAAGGUUAAGAGGAUCCGUCAGGCUUCGGCCGAAGCGGUGAAUUCAAGCCCCGGUAAACGGCGGUGGUAACUAUAACCAUCCUAAGGUAGCGAAAUUCCUUGUCGGGUAAGUUCCGACCUGCACGAAUGGCGUAA